GUACUUGCUUCGGCAGCACAUAUACUAAAAUUGGAACGAGAAGAGAAGAUUAGCAUGGUCCCUGUGCAAGGAUGACACACAAGUUCAUAAAGCAUUCCAUAUUUUU
ensembl:snRNA U6 U6 spliceosomal RNA